rnacentral:tRNA from 1 species
GGCCCCAUCGUCUAACGGCUAGGACAUCGCCCUUUCAAGGCGGUAACGCGGGUUCGACUCCCGCUGGGGUCACCA